rnacentral:rRNA from 1 species
ACUAACAUUAGCCUGCCUACAUCAACAUCUAAACUAUCAUAAAUAAUAAAAUAAAACAUUUACAUAUAGGAGUAUAGGAGAUAGAAAUUUACUUAAGCGCUAUAGAGAUAGUACCGUAAGGGAAAAAUGAAAGAAAAAUAAAAGUAUAAAACAGCAUAGAUUAUACCUAGUACCUUUUGCAUAAUGAAUUAGCUAGAAAAAUUUGACAAAAAGAAUUUUAGUCAAACCCCCCGAAACCAAACGAGCUACUUCUGAACAGCUAACAAUGAGCAAACUCAUCUAUGUGGCAAAAUAGUGAGAAGAUUCAAAAGUAGAGGUGAAAAGCCUAUCGAGCUUGGAGAUAGCUGGUUGUCCAAAUAAGAAUUUAAGUUCAACUUUAAGUUUUCCUAAAAAACUAAAAAUUCUAAUGAAAACUUAUAUGUUAAACUAAGGAGGGACAGCUCCUUAAACAAGGAUACAUCCUUAAACAGAGGGUAAAAAAUUUAAUCACCAUAGUAGGCUUAAAAGCAGCCAUCAAUUAAAAAAGCGUUCAAGCUUGACAAAUCUCUAUAAUUUUAUACCUAAAAACUUUAAUUAUCCCCUGAUAAAUAAUCGGACUAAUCUAUAACAAUAUAGAAGAAAUAAUGCUAAUAUCAGUAACAAGAAAUACUUCUCCUUGCACAAGUUUACAAUAACCUCAACCAAUUAACAAUCUUAUAAUAUAUACAUCUACCAGCCCAUUAUUAUAAAUAUUGUUAUCCCAACUCAGGAGUGCAAUAAGGAAAGACUAAAAUAAGUAAAAGGAACUCGGCAAACAAAAAUCCCGCCUGUUUACCAAAAACAUCACCUCUAGCAUGACAAGUAUUAGAGGCACCGCCUGCCCAGUGACAAAUAAAGUUUAACGGCCGCGGUAUCCUGACCGUGCAAAGGUAGCAUAAUCACUUGUUCUUUAAAUAAGGACUAGUAUGAAAGGCUAAACGAGGGUUUAACUGUCUCUUGCUUAUAGUCAGUGAAAUUGACAUUCCCGUGAAGAGGCGGGAAUAAAACAAUAAGACGAGAAGACCCUAUGGAGCUUCAAUUAAUUAAUUCAUUUUUACAUAACUAUUCCGACAGGAAGUAAAAACAAAACAUGAGUUAACAAUUUUGGUUGGGGUGACCUCGGAGCAAAAUAAAACCUCCGAAUGAUAUUAACUUAGACCUACAGGUCAAAGUUUCUAUCAUAAAUUGACCCAGAGAUAAUCUGAUCAACGGACCAAGUUACCCUAGGGAUAACAGCGCAAUCCUAUUAUAGAGUUCAUAUCGACAAUAGGGUUUACGACCUCGAUGUUGGAUCAGGACCUCCCAAUGGUGCAGCCGCUAUUAAGGGUUCGUUUGUUCAACGAUUAAAGUCCUACGUGAUCUGAGUUCAGACCGGAGCAAUCCAGGUCGGUUUCUAUCUAUUAAAUAUUUCUCCCAGUACGAAAGGACAAGAGAAAUUGGGCCUAUAGACCAACUAUGCCCUAAUAGUAAAAAAAUGAUAUAAUAUUAAUCAUUUAACUAUUACCACCCUCUCCCACCCGAGAUAAGGGU